rnacentral:lncRNA from 1 species
AUGCUGAGCUUUGUUGCUGGGGGAGAAGGAGCAAAGAGGAGAGGCUGCUCUGUGCCCAACUGGCAAACAGAGAUCAAAAAUAAUGCAAUUGUUGUUUGCCCUUCUCCAGUGAGCUUCACUGGAUGCAGCACUUAUCAACAACACUCCCAGCUGUCUUUGAAAUCAGAUUGUAACUGCAGCCAGGUGACAGUCCAAGUUUUCUUCUUGAUCAGAUCAUUCAUGAUGUUUGAGAAAUCCUCCAGCACUUCUCCAUUUAUGGUCUGCAGAGCCUGA